rnacentral:rRNA from 1 species
AGUGAACGCUGGCGGUAGGCCUAACACAUGCAAGUCGAACGGCAGCACAGUAAGAGCUUGCUCUUACGGGUGGCGAGUGGCGGACGGGUGAGGAAUACAUCGGAAUCUACUUUUUCGUGGGGGAUAACGUAGGGAAACUUACGCUAAUACCGCAUACGACCUACGGGUGAAAGCAGGGGAUCUUCGGACCUUGCGCGAUUGAAUGAGCCAAUGUCGGAUUAGCUAGUUGGCGGGGUAAAGGCCCACCAAGGCGACGAUCCGUAGCUGGUCUGAGAGGAUGAUCAGCCACACUGGAACUGAGACACGGUCCAGACUCCUACGGGAGGCAGCAGUGGGGAAUAUUGGACAAUGGGCGCAAGCCUGAUCCAGCCAUACCGCGUGGGUGAAGAAGGCCUUCGGGUUGUAAAGCCCUUUUGUUGGGAAAGAAAAGCAGCAGGUUAAUACCCCGCUGCUCUGACGGUACCCAAAGAAUAAGCACCGGCUAACUUCGUG